rnacentral:lncRNA from 1 species
GCCAGCUUAUAUAAAUAUCUUCUGUGAAUCAAUAAGGGUUGAAACAUUUUGAAGAUUGAUAUAAAAUAUCCAUAUUUAUUUUAUGGUGGUUCUACAUCAGAGCUCCCCAACCCUGUUCCUGGAGAGAUACCGUCCUAUAGGUUUUUAUUCCAACCCUAAUCUAGCACACCUGAUUCUAAUAAUUACCUGGUUGAUAAACUGAACUGGGGUUGGAGCAAAAACCUAUAGGAGGGUAGCUCUCCAGGAACAUGGUUAGAGACUUCUGUUCUACAUAGUCUUGUGCCAGGGUUUCCCAAAAUCUGUCCUGGGGACCCAAAGGGGUGCACGUUUAGUUUUGUUGCCCUAGCACUACACAGCUAAUUCAAAUAAUCAACUAAUCAUCAAGCUUUGAUUUAUUUUAAUCAUCUGUGUAGUGCUAGUGUCAAGGUGUUGGGUGCCUACUGGUAGCGAAGUCAGGUGCAGGAGAGCAGAGAGUUGUGAACAGGCGCACACUUUAUUGAGGCAGGAGAAAACAGCAGACGGACACAACUGCGUCAAAACCACCAGCCACAAUAGCAAAAAGUGCAGAGCGCAAAACACAGUCACAAAAGCUAAUGAAUUCAAAUAAACAUACUACGUGCAAUAACACGGAUCAUAAACACCAGCCUGGCGCGUAACCGCAAACACGUAACACGAAACAAUUUCACACAAAGACAUGGGGGGAAUAGAGGAAUAAAUACAUGAAGUGUGAUUGGGAAUGUAAACCAGGUGUGCAGGGAACAAGACAAAACAAAUGGAACAAUGAAAAAUGGAGCGGCGAUGGCUAGAAAGCCGGUGACGUCGACCGCCGAACGCCGCCCAAACAAGGAGAGGAGCCGACUUUGGCGGAAGUCGUGACAGGGGACGACCCGGAGGGUGAGGCGCAGGGCGAUCUGGCCGGCGACGAUGGAACUCCCGCAGCAGUUCAGGGUCCAACACAUCCGCCACCGGAACUCAGCACCUCUCCUCCGGGCCAUACCCCUCCCACUCCACGAGGUACUGAAGGCCCCCCGCCCGACGCCUCAAAUCCAGGAUGGAAUGAACGGAGUACGCCGGGGCGGAGGAACCUCCCGCACCUCAGAUUCCUUGAGUGGACCAACCACCACCGGCCAGAGGAGAGAUACAUGGAACGAGAGGUUAAUGCGAUAAUCGGGGGGAAGUUGUAACCUGUAACACACCUCGUUCACUCUCCUCAGAACUUUGAAUGGCCCCACAAACCGCGGGCCCAGCUUCCGGCAGGGUAGGCGGAGGGGCAGGUUUCGGGUCGAGAGCCAGACCCGGUCCCCCGGUGCGAACACUGGGGCCUCACUGCAGUGAUGGUCUGCGCCCACUUUCUGGCGCAGCACGGCUCGCUGAAGGUGGACAUGGGCAGCGUCCCAUGUUUCCUCCACGCGCCUGAACCAGUCGUCCACCACAGGAGCCUCGGUCUGACUCUGAUGCCAAGGCUGAUACCCCAAUACACACUGGAAAGGGGUGAGGUUAGUGGAGGAGUGGAGGAGCGAGUUCUGGGCCAUCUCUACCCAGGGCACGAACGCUGCCCACUCUCCCGGCAGGUCCUGGCAAUAGGACCUCAGAAACCUACCCACAUCCUGGUUUACUCUCUCCACCUGCCCGUUACUCUCGGGGUGAAAACCCGAGGAAAGGCUGACCGAGACCCCCAGACGUUCCAUGAACUCCUUCCAGACCCUCGACGUGAACUGGGGACCCUGAUCAGACACUAUAUCCUCAGGCACCCUGUAGUGCCGGAGGACGUGUGUAAACAAGGCCUCCGCAGUCUGUAGGGCCGUAGGGAGACCGGGCAAAGGGAGGAGACGACAGAACUUAGAAAAACGAUCCACAACGACCAGGAUCGCGGUGUUACCCUGUGAGGGAGGAAGAUCGGUCAGGAAAUCUACCGACAGGUGCGACAACGGCCGCUGUGGAAUGGCCUGUCCUCUUGAGGUACUCCACCCUACCUAGGUCCUGGAGAAGGGAAAAGGUAGAUCUGCCCAUGGGUGUACAUUCCCACGUAGAUAACCCAUUGUUUUAUACACUAGGUUAGCCGGGCAGAUGUCACCCUUGUAUUUUCUUGGAACCAGGUAGGACAGUGGGUUAGGGUGUAGAAUGUGUUAGGAAGGAUUAGGUGUGUAGAAGAGGAGGGACCUUUUGUUUAUUUUCAUUAAUUGGACCCCGAUUCCAAACAUUCCCUUCUCUUACCUUCCCUGGUUGUUGUUGUUUUUUUUGUUUUCUUACUGAUUCUUUAUGGGUGUUUUAUAUUGUUUGUUUAAUUACUUUACUAAACAUCCCCUGAGG